rnacentral:rRNA from 1 species
GAUGAACGCUGGCGGCGUGCCUAAUACAUGCAAGUCGAGCGAACGGACGAGAAGCUUGCUUCUCUGAUGUUAGCGGCGGACGGGUGAGUAACACGUGGAUAACCUACCUAUAAGACUGGGAUAACUUCGGGAAACCGGAGCUAAUACCGGAUAAUAUUUUGAACCGCAUGGUUCAAAAGUGAAAGACGGUCUUGCUGUCACUUAUAGAUGGAUCCGCGCUGCAUUAGCUAGUUGGUAAGGUAACGGCUUACCAAGGCAACGAUGCAUAGCCGACCUGAGAGGGUGAUCGGCCACACUGGAACUGAGACACGGUCCAGACUCCUACGGGAGGCAGCAGUAGGGAAUCUUCCGCAAUGGGCGAAAGCCUGACGGAGCAACGCCGCGUGAGUGAUGAAGGUCUUCGGAUCGUAAAACUCUGUUAUUAGGGAAGAAAAUAUGUGUAAGUAACUGUGCACAUCUUGACGGUACCUAAUCAGAAAGCCACGGCUAACUACGUG